CCAUGUCUUGGCUAUUGUAAAUAAUGCUGCAAUAAACAUUGGGGUGCAUAGGACUUUGGGAAUUCCUGACUUCAAGCUCUUUGAAGAGAUACCCAGUAGUGGGAUGGCUGGGUCAUAUGGCAGUUCACCAUUCCCUUUCCUCUUAGAUUACUGACAACAAUCUUAUUGAGAAAAAAUGGAAUUAAGAUUAUUAUCAGUGUGCUCAUUAUAUUUUUUAAAAAUAAGUCUAUCAAAUCUUUGUCUAGGAUUAACUUUUAUUAAUUGAUUUGCAUUCAAGUGAUUAGGAUGAUUACAACUAAUUAUCCAGUCAACUCUUAAAAUUUUAAUAACAUCCCUCUCUUUGGGCAUGCUUGGAAAAUCUGUCCCUGAAUCAAUAUUACAAAAUAUCUACAUAAUUUUCACCACAGAACUUCUACAAAUAAUUAUUCAUUCCAUUUUGACUAUUACAGCUUAGCCUAAAGAAUUAAGUAAAUAUGUAUUACUUCACUCCUGCACACCCUUUAAACGCAGCUAACAGACACUGAAUAAACCGGCUCAUCCCCCGCGGGAUCAGGAGUUGCUUGCCCCGUAUGCUGUCGCCAGGCUGCAGCCGCCUGAGGGGACUCGUCCGGGGCCCCGCCCUCAGAGCUCACACCCGCCGUGCGCUCUCGCCCCGGGGCCGCCCCGCCGACCUCCCGCGCGGCUCUGCGCGCACAGGCCGGACGCUCGGAGCCGGCGCCGGGCCGCCCUGCUCGGCCUCCUGGGCGCAGCGGCGCCUCUGGACCGAGCACGCGCACCAGCGGCCUCCGCUCAGGCUCCGUGCCCGCGCACGCGCCCUCGCGUCGCGCUCCUGGCUGAGAGACCUGCGCUCGGGCUGGGCUCCGGGCGGUUCUCGCGUUGUCGUUCCACCGGGACUUCCGCGCUUCGGUGGCCUUUCGGACGAGCCGCCGCGCCCAGAGAUGUUCAGGUUGGAGCGACACUUCCCAGACGGCAGCGGUCACGCCAGCUCUUUGGCUUCCAUUCCGUUUUCGCGCGGUUCUCCCUCUUCGCAAGGUGAGUGGAGCUCGUUUGUGGAUGUGUUAGCACAGGAUGCGGGAAUCCUGUGAAGCGAGUCAAUUCGGAGCCCGACGUGAACCAGGAGGGGUGGCGGCGGAAGCGCUCACAGCGUGGAGGCCGGUAGUAGGGACACCAGUCCUCACGGGACUCUCGGGCCUGAACGGCAGAGGACGGUGUGUGUCUGUGGGGACAGACGGGCAGCGUGUGGCGGGGUGUGUGUGAGAGACGCGAGUGAGCGGUGGGAUGCGCCUCCGUGCCGUGGGUGUGGCUGUGCUGGGGUGACGGGGAUUUGGUGCAUGUCCUUCACCUGUGCGGGUGUGAUGGCUGUGGCUCUGUGGCGUCACUGUCUGGUGGCUCUGGGCUCCCUGGCGCUUCCUCCUCUUCUCUCCUCACAGCUGCUUGGCUGCAAGAGGGAAGUAGGACAUUGAGCCCUAAAGGGAGAUUUCCAGCCAGGGGGCACCGAGUGAUGUCAUUCUGACUGCAGUCACCACUGUCGGGUUGUGAUUAAACUCUGAUGACCUAUGAGAGCACCGUGAUGUCAGUUUUUCUGGAAUUGGAAUAUUGAGUACUUCCUGACCCAGUUCUAUGUCUUUUCUAACCUGUUCAACCUCACCUGACCCCAAGGCCAUGAGCUCUAGAUUCCCUUUGUUCUUUCCCAGUAGAGGAAUCCCAAGGAGGACUGAUCAGUUUUGGCAGGUGCAAAACCAUGGAGUGAAAUCAUAGAGUAUUCCUUUCUCUGUCUUACUUGUUUGGCUCAGGAUCCAUCCAUGUUGUCUCAAAUGGGAUGAGUUUGUCUGUUUUUAUGG
rnacentral:lncRNA from 1 species